AAAACUUGGUUUUCGAGCAUUUCUCUGCCCCAGGAGGGCAAUGGGCCCCACGUCCAAUUCAUCAAGUGCCUAAUGAGUGGCCUCGGAGGUCCCGGCCCAUCCAUUCCAGAAGCUCCCUGCCUCGUAAAGGCUCUCUGGCCUUGGCCCAGGUGUCAGGAUCCUGCCAGCUCCAGGCUGGGGGCUGUGUCUGCCCCGACUUGGAUGGAAAACUGGAAUCUGAGCAACCGUGAGCUCCAGGCAGAAGAAUUUCAGCAGUUACACUUCACCCUGGCAAGAGGAUGGUAGGCUCAAUGCGGAGAGCUAGUGAUUUUGCCAACUUCCUGGAUGUUCGUUCCUGGUCCUGCACCAAACAGCCCCAUUUCCUUUUGGAACCGGGACCGGGACAGAGGCGGCGGCAGACACGGGACGUUGUUGUGAGGUUUCGAGAUUGUGAAUGAAAAGGCUGGGCCUGUGGAAUACGCAAUCUCUGGGCCAGUUCCCAGAAGCCCAGAAAUGAACAGCCAGAGCGGCCACCGGACAUCGCUUUUCAGCCACCAGGGGCCACUGGGCAUCACAUCUCGGCCACCCACAAGCCGGGCGACCCUGGGAUGGGAUGAGGACACAGACCUGCACAGAGGGGAAGAUCUCGUGAAGACUCAGAAGGGAUAGCCAUCGACCCGCCAAGGAGAGAGCUCCGGAGAAACCGGCCCUGCUGACACCUCCGGCUCCAAAUUCCAGCCUCCGGGGCUGCGAGAUGAUCUGGGCUGCUUGGUCACGGCAGCCUGAGCAAAGCGGCAUUGAAAUUUGCCUGUGUGCUGAGCAGCGUGUGCUUUAAAACGACCGACAGUCUGUCCCAAGCCCCUCCAAGGCGAGCACAUCCCAUUUGGCUUCUCAGACUCAUCAGAGCAUUGCGUCCCCAUUUCACAGAUGUGGAAACUGAGGCUAAGCAAAUAGCCCAGGGUCAGAUAGCUAGGAUGUGUGGAGAGAGACUGUUUCCCGGAGUUGGGGCACUCAAACCCGGCUGCACAGAGGAAAUCACCUGGGAAGUCUUAAAAUACUGAUUCCUGGGCCCUGCCCCGGACGAAGGGAGUUAGAAGAUGGGCAGCAAUUCUCAAGGCACCCCAGUGAUUUUCACCUAGAUCAGUG